UGUUCCUCCACUUGUUAGAGAUACACGGAUUCUUUUCCUUGAUUUGAAGCACUGAAAAUCCUUUCAUGACAGUGCCCCAGCUGCUGCGUUUUACAACAUUCUUUUGUACAUAUUUCUGUUUUCAGUGUUUCCAUUUUCAUGCUUUUCAGACUGGCUUUGAGAAUAUCUGCAGGUAUUGCAGACCUGGAGAUUGUGCUGUAUGGCUUUAGGAUCGAGGCAGCAACUUUAGGUCAGAGAAAAGGAGAUGAAGCUUCACAGGCAAGGAGAUUAGGUCAAACGUUGAUGAGCUUCUCAUACUUGUAGGCUCCAUUGCUACAAGAUGCUUUGUUACAGGAACCAACGCUUGUCAUCGAACUCCAGGAGUAGAAUCCGGUAUCAAAGAUGCUGCAAAGAAGUAUCGUUUCGAUUCAGCCUUCAGAUUGUUCAAAGUCUUCAUCUAUCCCUGCUUCUCACAUAGAUUAGUGAAAUGGGGACCCCUUUGUGGAUCACCUGCUAUGGCCUUGCGGUAUAUGAGAUCGGUGUUGCUGUUUUUUUAGGUGACUCGCACAGUCGAAGGUAAGCUACAACGUGUUUUGUCCUCGCGUUUCAGCAGCUCACAUGUCUGGUGAGUGUCUGCAGGUAUUCCUUGUUGAAUCUAAGCCAUCCUACUUUUAUGAAGUGGAAAGUAAUCACAGGAACCUCGAUGGGUUUUGGUGAUAUUUGUGGGCAGUUCUGUCUUGUAAAGAAAAAAUCUAGUUUCUUGCUGAGCUUUUCAAGAAUACUUGAUUGGCGUCCGUAGAUCAAGCACCGGCUGGAGUAUAAUUGAUGAUCGGAAAGCACACAUUCGAGCUCCUCCAUCAUCACUUCGAUUUCAUAGCUGAUUUGUAGUUUCGUUUCGAAUAUGACAAGGGGAUUCAUUGUGUAAUCCGUGGAACUGUGCUGUAUAAGCAAAUAAUCGUUACACUCGGGAACUAUCAUUUUCCUGGCCUUGAGAACAGGAUUGCAUCACCCAACAUUCUGGAAGUCAGGGUUUCGGGUUUUUUGUUUGUUUUUGCUGUGACUACCGUGGAUUGAGAACCUCGGCAAGCAGAUAUUCUACAGUGCGUACAAUCUGGUGCAUUUUUUAAAACAUGUACCGACUGUUGUUUCAAUCUGUUCUUUUGAGGUCAUUGCUGUUCCUUCCUACGGUACAGAUGCUGCCUGCAUCACAGUAUCUACGGCUUCUUGAAGGCUGCAGUGUAGCUAAACGGGGGAUUGUGGGGAUCUUCACACGCUGUGUAAGGGUAACGAAGGAACCAUGAUUAUGUAGAGGGCCACAAAAAACUAUCCGCUCCCAAGUGGGCAGUUGAAUCUUUUGUUCCUGAUUCUUUGCAUUUUCGUAUUGGUGAUUCGCAUCGUCGUUAUCCACUACCACCCGCUUUCGUAUGGUUUGUGACCAAAUUUGGGCACACUCCUCUCAAGCACUUCCAGGAAUGCUCUACUUACCCAUCCAUAAUCUCUCCUUCCCGACCAAAGUCUAUUUUCGAUGUGAAGGCAACGACGCUACACUGCUAGAAUCUCUGGCUUUAGUCUUGAGUUGGCAUUUAUGUUGAAUCUCAUGUUCGAUAAUCUUUCGAAGGAUCCGAGGAAUCUCUCUGCAGGUUAUUCCUCACGACUACGCAGAAGGGAUGCCUAUGUCCGUCCUAAGUUCCAUGGCUGGACUCCGCGAGAGACCCUACUUUGCGACUUCGAUGCUUUUAACUUCAGCGACAAGAGUAACCUGCUUCACAUCCAAAUGCGAGUAUGUCGAAUUCCUUGAAGGAUUCCAGCCCGGGAUCAAGUUGCAUCACCGUUUACUAUUUGUUCUGUUUUUAUGAAACAGAUUGAACCAACCUUGACUAGCGAUGAAAACAAUGGUCUAAGAAAUACUUUUUGAUGCAAGAGAUCCUGCCCUUGAUUGCCAAGGCUCUAGUCUUGUAGUCAAACUCAACCUUAAGGUGCCAGCGAAAUCUAUCUUUCUAAGAGCCUAAGCAGACCCUCUUUAAAUUCUUCCUCCACAGCCGCCCUUUCAAACCCGGGGAAGAUCCUCUUACAAACGACUAUUGGCAAUUUUGAAGAUAAUUUCUAGCACUCAAGUGUAGAGAUUAUACACAAGAAUGUCACGAAGAAUUUUCAUUUUCAGAAGACGGACUACCUCCUAGCGAAUGCGGGCUGGCACUGCAGGUUAUGCUUAUGAUGUGUUCGAGAGUUUAUCUUGAAAAACUCAUGCUUAUUCCAAUGCUGUCUGUGUGCAGUUCUCGCAGGAUCUGAAGCAUCGUGUGCAGUAGUAGUGGCCUAUUUGACAUGUGGAGGAAAUUACUGUGUUCAAGGAGCUCAUUAGUAAGAUAAUGAAGUACCCAUGGAGCAGCUACUUUCGGUGGAUCUUUUUGAACACAAAUAACAAUUUUGCAAAUGUUAUGGAUUAUCCAGAGGCUUCUAUGGAGUACAUCAUCACUCUCUCUCGGAGAGUAUUAACACAGCCCUUGUAAGAUGCCUAGUUCUCGUCUAUGAGCUUCUAUGUUGAUUUAUUUGAGAAACCAGAGUAGAUUCAAAACAACCGUCAUGAAGGCGAUCAUUAGACGAACAAGCAAGCGAUCCCCUGGUGCGACCGAGAUAAUUCCGAACUUCAGUUUCAAUUAGUCUUCGUUUGUUUUGGAUUACAUGAAUCUCCAAGUGUACUUUUCUGAUUACAAAUUAGUAAUCAUAAGUAUGUGUAUUUCUCUCUCU